rnacentral:piRNA from 1 species
GGUGAAACUGUGACUUCAUGAUGUUCUA